AUUGAACGCUGGCGGCAUGCUUUACACAUGCAAGUCGAACGGUAACAGGGAGCUUGCUCCGCUGACGAGUGGCGAACGGGUGAGUAAUGCGUCGGAACGUGCCGAGUAGUGGGGGAUAACGCAGCGAAAGUUGUGCUAAUACCGCAUACGUACUGAGGUAGAAAGUGGGGGACCUUCGGGCCUCACGCUAUUCGAGCGGCCGACGUCUGAUUAGCUAGUAGGUGAGGUAAAGGCUCACCUAGGCGACGAUCAGUAGCGGGUCUGAGAGGAUGAUCCGCCACACUGGGACUGAGAAACGGCCCAGACUCCUACGGGAGGCAGCAGUGGGGAAUUUUGGACAAUAGGCGAAAGCCUGAUCCAGCCAUGCCGCGUGUCUGAAGAAGGCCUUCGGGUUGUAAAGGACUUUUGUCGGGGAGGAAAUCCCCAGCGCUAAUACCGCUGGGGGAUGACAGUACCUGAAGAAUAAGCACCGGCUAACUACGUGCCAGCCGCCGCCGUAACAC
rnacentral:rRNA from 1 species